GCCGCGGUAAGACGUAGGGCGCGAGCGUUGCCCGGAUUUAUUGGGCGUAAAGAGCUCGUAGGCGGCUUGUCGCGUCGACCGUGAAACCUUGGGGCUCAACCCCAAGCCUGCGGUCGAUACGGGCAGGCUAGAGUUCGGUAGGGGAGACUGGAAUUCCUGGUGUAGCGGUGAAAUGCGCAGAUAUCAGGAGGAACACCGGUGGCGAAGGCGGGUCUCUGGGCCGAUACUGACGCUGAGGAGCGAAAGCGUGGGGAGCGAACAGGAUUAGAUACCCUGGUAGUCCACGCUGUAAACGUUGGGCGCUAGGUGUGGGGGGCCUCUCCGGUUCUCUGUGCCGCAGCUAACGCAUUAAGCGCCCCGCCUGGGGAGUACGGCCGCAAGGCUAAAACUCAAAGGAAUUGACGGGGGCCCGCACAAGCGGCGGAGCAUGCGGAUUAAUUCGAUGCAACGCGAAGAACCUUACCUGGGUUUGACAU
rnacentral:rRNA from 1 species